ensembl:rRNA 5S_rRNA 5S ribosomal RNA
GUCUGUAUCCAUAUCACCCUGAACGGGCACGAUCUCAUCUGAUCUUGUAAGCAAAGCAGGGUUGGGCCUGGUUAGUACUUGGAUGGAAGAAAUUAACUGAAUAAAACAAAUAAUAUAGUAG